UGCAGUGUGAUCUAGGAUCUGGUAGUGCAAUUGGAGACAAGGGAAAGAGAAUCCUUGGCUUCACAUCCUUGAUGACUACACCCAGUAUACCUGAAGAAGAAGAAGAGAUGCCUCGAGUAGAUGUUGUUUAUGAAAAUAUUCAAAACAUACCUCCUCUACUGAAGACAUACAUCAAGAGUCCUGCAAAGCUGAAGAGAAAACGUGGAGAUGAGGAUCCUUCAGAGUCGAGCAGUGUGGCGAAGAGGAUUGAUUUUGAUGAUCCAUCAGCAGCUUAGGAUGUUAUAGAUAGUUUUGGGAUGCUUACAUGUCUAUUUGGCAUGUAUAUUUUGUAU